UACGGAGGGAGCUAGCGUUAUUCGGAAUUACUGGGCGUAAAGCGCACGUAGGCGGCUUUGUAAGUAAGAGGUGAAAGCCCAGAGCUCAACUCUGGAAUUGCCUUUUAGACUGCAUCGCUUGAAUCAUGGAGAGGUCAGUGGAAUUCCGAGUGUAGAGGUGAAAUUCGUAGAUAUUCGGAAGAACACCAGUGGCGAAGGCGGCUGACUGGACAUGUAUUGACGCUGAGGUGCGAAAGCGUGGGUAGCGAACAGG
rnacentral:rRNA from 1 species